rnacentral:rRNA from 1 species
UACGAAGGGGGCUAGCGUUGCUCGGAAUCACUGGGCGUAAAGAGCUCGUAGGCGGCUCGUUGCGUCGGCUGUGAAAACCCGCAGCUCAACUGUGGGCUUGCAGCCGAUACGGGGCGGGCUGGGGAUUCGGUGAGGGGAGACUGGAAUUCCUGGUGUAGCGGUGAAAUGCGUAGAUAUCAGGAGGAACACCUGUGGUGUAGACGGCUUUCUGGACCAUAGCUGACGCUGAGACACGAAAGCGUGGGUAGCAAACAGG